GUCGGCAUCAAAGUGCUUUCGACAACCAGUAAAAAAUGAAGUUUAUAAUUACCUUACUACUAAUCGGAGUGACAGUCCAAAACUGCGUCGCCACAAUUCCUAUUUCAUUCAGAUACCCAACAAGUUCAUGCUCCUGGUUUGAUCUUGGUAGACGUCAAGCUAUUUUUCCAUUUUGUUGGCCAGGUGGAUAUCCGUAUCCGGUCGCCCCACCAAACGGUUGUUAUCCGUAUGAUUUUCGAGCUCAUCAAGAUCCCAACGUUCCAUGUCUGCCGCCCAUUCUUCCGUGUCCUCAAAGUCCGACUGGCUGUGUAGUACCACCGUGUACUGGACGAUACAUAAUCGUUAGAUAAGUUUUAGUGAUUAAAAACAUAAUUCAAAUAA